CUGCCAAACAGAGAAUGGAUGAGACUCUGAUGAGACAGGUCAGCUGACUCUGUCUGCAACAACAUCACCUUUACUGCUUUACUCUUCUCCCUCACCUUCAUCAGGAUCAACAAGGUCAGACAGCAGACAGAUCCACUCUUCCUCUCACUUUGUCAUUGAUUCACUGAUGGCUGAGUUCACUCACAUUUCAUUUAGAUCAGUCUCUAAUCUGAUUUUGCUGCAGGAACCUCCUUCUUUCUGGCUGUGUGUAGCAGGGCACACCUGAUGGCACUCUGCAAUCAACUCACCUCUCCGUAGCAACUGGCUCACCCCAGUGUUGUUUUUGGCAGGCAUUUUAGAUUUAGUUUUAGUCUUAGUCAUUUUGACGAAAUGCUUCUUCGUUUUAGUCCCAUUUUAGUCAUUUCUAUCCUUGAUAGUUUUCGUCUAGUUUUAGUCCGACCAAAACUCAAAAGGUUUUCGUCUAGUUUUAGUCGACGUAAAGGUGCCUUUUGAGGUUCGUGGUGUUCUUUCCCGACAGUUUGAAGCAUGAGGAAGCUGUGGCUCCACAACUGUCGUCUGUCUCGUCUCCCCGUCCCGUGUUUUAUUGUCACUUUUAUUUUAUUGUCACUUGGACUGUAUCUGAAGUAGGACCAAAAAUCAUCCCUCUUUUUUCGGCCACCGGGUACCGCUGCUGUGCCUGCCGCCACGGUGUGUGUGUGUGUGUGCGCGCGCCUCGUCCACCUGCCGCUCUGUGUAUGUGUAUGAGUGUGUGCGCGCAGCUGUGCUCGAGCGAGGCUUUUGGUGCGUGUGUGAUGGGGGCGUGACUGUUAGGACAAAAAAAAGCAUGUUUUGAAACUUUGUUCGUCCACCUAAUAACAAUUUAGUCUCGUCUCGUUCUCGUCUGACGAAAGUGAAUAUAAUUUUCGUCACAUUUUAGUCUUUACAGAGCUUUGGUGAUGUUCGUCUUAGUCUCAUUUUCGUCAAGGAAAAAAGGGGUCUGACGUCGUCAUUUAAGUUUUCGUCCUGCCUGACGAAAACAACACUGGCUCACCCUCCACUACUCUGCCAGAUAAUUCCGUCUCAUUCGGUAGUGCCAGGUUCAGGUUUCCAGACAAAAGCUUUUUCUAGAUUCUCUGAAUCCAUCCUGAUCACCUUUUUUUUGUGUUUUUUUCUUUUUUUUAAAUUGGUGCCUCGGUGCCUAAUCUUGCUCUGGUCUUCAGUGUGGUGGUCAGACAGCCUGUAGCAGCUGCAGCCUGCAAGGAUUUUUUCUUAGUUUGUGUAAUUUUUCUAUGUCUUGUGCAAGUCAAUAAAACUUUUGAACAGACCUGAGGUCUCCUAUCUUUUGGGUCCAGCUAUAAACUCAAGCCUUAACAGAUAUCUCUGUAUUACUCCACAUGAAAACUGAAAAUCAAAACAGAUUUUUCACAUUUAGUUUGUUUGGUGUUUUUUGUGACUCUGAAUUUAUGAAGCAUCAUCAUUACUUUAUUAACUGUGAUGAAAACAAUGAUGCUAGCUGAAGCAACAACAACAACAAUAAGGAAACUGGGAGCCCGAGUUUAGUCCAUGACUUUAUCCUCAUGAUUGUAACGUGUCAAAAAGACUAAUAAACACCUGUCACACUCCUGUCUGAUAUCAGUAUGAUAUGGUUGUAAUUUGUAGCAGCGACCAUCACCUCCUCAUCUAAACUCCCCAAAGGAAUUUAAGGCUUACAUCUGGUCACCGGAGACGAGAUGGUCUAAACUUUCAACACCAAAUCACGAUCUUUCUACAACCUCCUGUCUUUAUAGAAGAUAACCAAAGAAGCCUUCUCAAAAGGACAAACCUCCUAUCCUUUCCACUUCAAAGAGACCGAGACAUUGUUUAUGGCCAGCAGGAAAGAACUACAGGACCACGUCAUCAGAUAAACAUCUGCCAUCACACCUUGACUAGGAAGCGUCAGGUUUAUCAGCUCAGCCUUGAAUCCUACAUUUGGUUGUGCUCUCGUUGAGUACAAUCUAAAGAGAAUAGCUACAACUAGUCCAAUUUCAGGUUGGAUGGACACCACACUAUGAUCUUCUGCCAGUACUCAACAUGUGCAGGAAAACAGUCUUUGUCCCAUUUGCCGAUCAUGUUCACAAGCCAUAAUUUCACACUGACAGAAUAAAUCCUUCAGUCCUAAAGUUCUUUGAGAUCAACAGCUUUCCAAACUGUUUCAUGAACUUUCAAGAGCUGAAGUUAUGUUUUAAUUACAACCUUAUUCUAGUAGAAAUAGUGUAGAAAUGUUUAGUUUAUCUCUUAAUCAUUUGUUUAGCUUUGUUAAACAUUAGGUAGUUAUACUAUUAGAUAAUAAUCUGAGUGUUGGUCUGUAGAAUCCUUUUUUAAAUGUUAUUAAUUAUUAUUAAUUGUAAGUUCAUGUACAUGUGUUUACCCUUGUGUUAUUCACAGUUUAUAUGUGUUACUAUCUGUUUCAUUUCAGAGUAAUUGAACAUGUACUUUUUUAACAAUGUUCUUUGAAAAGUGAUACUCAAAGCAUAAUGAGAAUGUUCGUUAAUGUGAUUCUACAAUUCUUUAUAUUUGUUUAACAUCAAAUCAUUCAUUAUGAACCAAGCAUUCAAUAACAUUAAUCACAGUGAGUGAGUAUUCGAUCUGAUUCCUUUACCUGCCAAAAGUAUAAGUUCGAUCAUACAAUGAGGGAUCCUGAAGGUCUCCUCUGAAAAAGCUGCAGCAGGACACCAGCGAGGACACCCUCCUUUCUCUCCUCACACCCCAGAGACACUCCCAGUUUGAAGAGUAUUAAACCAGUAAAGUUGGGGUGCUCACUCUCUUAUUCACUUCUGUCCUCUUCUCUUGUCUCUUUGUUUCUGCUUAGUUCCCUCCUAGCUUGUUUUCUCUUAGUUCUUACUCUUACUACUUAGUCUUACUUUUUCCUCUUAGUCUUCUAAGUUUUACAUUAGUGUUCAUUCACGUUGUAUGAUUUUUCUUUAACGUCUUAGUUCAGUAUUGAAACUUCAACUAUUUUUGUGCAUACAGGGAUCCAAGAUUAAGCCUUUAAUUGGUUUUUCUUUAACUUCGCUCAUUUUUGAAAUAGUUUCAACUGUCCAUGGAGUUUCUAUUUCUUAGUUAUCUGCGUUACUUCAAAGUCACCUCUGAAUGCUACCCAGCAGGCCCAAAGUCAUACUCUGUGGUAGAGUUUUGAGUGAGACAAAAGGAGCAUCCAAAGGACACAAAAAGGUGCUGGUUUAUGCAUUCAGGCCUGUGUGUUGUGACUCCUGGCCUGUCCUUUGUCUGGCUUCGGUCCUCUGCUGAGCCGAACCUCCCAAACCGCCGGUAGCCCGGACCUUCAGUGAACCUCCUCCAUCCUCUCCAAGGACCAGUCUCACAUAAGUAUGCAAACCUUUUCUUUAUUUUCCCACCAUUCAGGUGGGUGGUGCCCCUUUCAACGAGUGCAUAAAUGUCAAAGUGUAAGAUUAGUAUCAAUUAUUAAUCUUAGGACAUUUAUUAUAAAUUCAAAUCACUACAAAUCACUGAAUAUUAAGUUAUGAAUAUGUUCAAAUUUCUCUGAAAUUAAAAGACUAAAACUCCAAAUCUAAUAAAAAAAAAAAUAAAAAAAAAUCAGUUUCAACAAUUUAAAGUUUGUGUGGAAACAUGAGGGAAACUCUCUGAUUUGGUUGAAUAAAGGGACGCACAGACGUCAUGAAGCCUGAUCUAAUGUCUGCCACCGCUGUCUUUUUCUCAGGAGGUUUGGUUGAAUUCACUCCAGCAUGUCCUCUAGACAUGAAAACAUCAUCAACAUGAGUCAACUCUGCAUGAGCGGUGGACACCUGAAUUUUCCAACCACAAACAAGUUUGUCUCCUGGACUGUUUGGAUGAAAUCUCUGCUAACAGCUGAUUAUUGUUGUUGUUGUUGUUGUUGUUGUUGUUGUAACUAAAGCAGCAUGUUGUGAGGAUGUUCUCACAGGGUCUGGUCUGUGCUGAGGAGUUAUACAGAGGGUUGAAAUGACGGAGCUCUGACAGCAAGAUUUCUGACUGAAGCUGCUGACUGAUGGGACUUUAACACACCUUUGUUGUUGACAAUGUUUCCUGUAUGAAAAAGAUGAGCUGUGUUCCUGAGCUGCAUGGAUAGUGAGUUCACUGCAUCCUUGAACAUUUGACUGAUUUAGAGACCGAGGAAGUAAACCCGUCAACAUCACUGCAGUGAUCAUCGGAACCAUUUAUAAAAAAUCAUCAACAUUCAAUCAACAAAAUAACUCACAGUUUUCCUCCAUCUGUAUCUGACUGAUGAUUCAAUAAAAAAACUAUGAAUUUAUGUGAGAAAGAAGAAAGUUCUGGAAAUAUUAAAGAAUUCUUUGAACAUUUGAAUUGGGUUAAAAAAACUGAAUAAACAUAAAAAUCUACAACAGAAACAAAGACUAAACUUACUCCAGAUGCUCCAGUUUACAGUUUGGACUCUGCAGAAGGUCACACAGCAGCUUCACUCCUGAAUCCUGCAGAUCGUUGUUACCCAGCUCCAGAAGUCUCAGAUGGGAGGGGUUGGACUUCAGAGCUGAGGCCAGAGAAGAAAAGCUGAUCUCUGACAACCUGCAGACACUCACUCUGAAAAAAGAAAAAAAUCAUUGAACCUCUGAAGAAACUGUUCCUGCUUUUAAUGAUUCAAUGUUCUUGAGUCUCUGAAGGACACAGAACUUUUUCAGAGUUGAUCUUGAGGAACUUUGUAAAAUCCUGUCUAAACUUUUGAAAAUCUUGAGGAAAAUUUCAGUCAAGAAAAUUUUAAAUAAACAGAAAACUUUAGUGAGAUCCUGAGAAACUCCUGUGUUCUUCAGGUUUCAAUCUGCAGCUCAUCAUUUCUCUGACACUUCAUUCAUUCAUUAGUGAUCACAUUAACUGUGGAUCAGUUCAAUAUCAGCCUUUAGUCUGUGCUGCUCCUGCCCUCUACAAGCAUGUGUAAUAUUUGUGGGACUGAUUUUCUCCUGCUUCCUUUCUACAUCCAUCGUUCUUCUCAAAGUCAACUCUGAAAUGUCAGAUUUUUCUUCCUGUGUCGAAGUUUUACAACGACAAAUUCAAACUGCUCGACCAAAGUUGAUGGAAAAACCACAGAGAAAAAUCUAAGGCAGCAGCUGUCACAUCUUAUUGUUAGAUCAGAAGGAAAUGGUGUCUCACUUCAGAUGCUCCAGUCUGCAGUUUGGACUCUCCAGUCCUGCAGAGAGAGGCUUCACUCCUGAAUCCUGCAGAUUGUUUUCACUCACGUCCAGAUAUCUCAGAUGGGAGGGGUUGGACUUCAGAGCUGAGGCCACAACUUCAUAGUGAGUCUCUGAGAGUCUACAGCCAGAAAGUCUGUAACAACAUAAAUAUCAACAAUAUUUCAUUAAAGGGUAAUUUGAUGUUUCUCUUCCCCAAAAACAAACAUGAUCUUUGGUUUGACAGACGGCCUGUUUUUAACCAGACAGAUACUAAUAUCAGGACCACAGCCAUGAGAGAAGACAGGAAGUCAAAGUUUAGAAGAAAAAAAAACUGUUCAGAUGUUCAAGACAAAUGACUCCAUGACUUAUUUUAGUCCUUCUGUUCUCCAACAGUGUUGUCUUCAUGUUAGUGCAGCUGGAUCAUUAUGACUGAGUGAAUUCUUGAGUUCUGGUUGGAGAAGGGGACUGAGAACAAGGUUUUUGAUCCUGGUAUGUGAUUGGUUAGUAUCCAAAGUACCUCUUGGAGGAUCAGUGCUCCUCUCAGUGUUUAAUGUUGACAUCCUGCUGUAAUGUAAGUCUUUCCAUAGACACUGACUGUUGACCAAUCAGAGGACGACUCACUGAAUCACAGCAGCAGCUCCUUCUUCUCUGAUUGGUUCAGAUAAAAUCGAUUUUUUAGCAGGUUAGAGCUGGUUUGACUCUGAACAUUUGAAGAGUUGAAGAUUUCUUUGUUUUCACAGUAAAAGUUUUUUCUCCAUGUAACAUUCGCUUCAGCAGCAGAAACACGUUUAUAAAACCUGAUGGAUCCAGAGAGACCUUUAAGAGACAGAAACAAAGACCCACUGAACCUCUGUCUCUGGGCUCUGGUCAUCUCUCUCUCUCUCUCUCUCUCUCUCUCUCACUCUGUCUGUCUUUCUCUCUUUCUAUGUCUCUCUCUCUGUCUCUAAGUAAAACCAGAACAGCUGCUGUCUAAGUUAGGCCUGAGUUUAUUUGACCUUUCUGGUACGUUCUCAUGAAUGUACUUAACAGAUUGAUUAUUGCUAAUAAAUGUGUUUGAUACAUAAAGUAGAAUUUGGAGCCACAGGAAAUUUAUCUUUGAACAUGUUUUCUUCACUUUUUUAAAUGUUUGCACUAAAUCAUGAAGUGAGGUAUCAAUAAUGAGUCCUGAUAAUAUGAACAUGGAGGAUCAAUAUGGGUACCUGCUUUAAUUCAACCUAAUGACAGCCAUGCUGGUUAUAGUCCUUUAGACCUGGUCCAGUCUCUCAGACUCAGACCUGGAUCAAACCCCAGUCUGCUGCAGUGUUUGUUUAAAGGCUGUUUCAGCAGAAGGCAGCAGUCUGACCAAUUUACAUCAACAUCUGAAACAGAGGCGUGCAGCCGAGUUACAGCCCACCAACACCUCAACAUGAGAGGAAUCAUCUUCACUCUGCAUCACCAUGACAACAAAGGGACACCAUGGAAAACUGAUGAUGAUGAUGAUGCAGUCACACUGCUUCCUCUUAGAGACAUGGUGUCCAUAUAUACAGUGGAAGAGCACGGCUGUUUCCACAUGCUGUGAGGUGUUAUGAGGCAGACUAGUGUCAGAGAGAGAGAGAGAGAGAGAGAGAGAGAGAGACAUUCACAUCCUAUCUCCACCAUUGUUUUCAGACUCAUGGAGCUGCUGUCCAAAUACCUCCUGUGUUCUCAUCAUUCAUAUGUUCUAGUCCAGCAGAUAAUCUCCAGUGAGUGGUGGAAAAUGAUGUUAGUUUUCAUGGUUGUAUUGAUGAUGAAUAUUGAAUGAUGAACAUGAUGGUACAGAGACAGUUCUGCCACUGUGUAGAAAAUGAUCCAGUUCUAUUUUCACCAUCAAUGCUGUCAACACCCUCAUUUACAACAGAUUCAUCAUUUCCAACCUGAAAACCAGCAGGAAGAAGCUGCAGACACCUUCUUCAAACUCAAGUUCACCACAACUGACUGAGAUGUUGAUCUGGACUGAUACCAUCAUCAGAAGACCUCUGUGUGUCCUCAGAUAUGGUCGCUGAUUUGUCCUCAAAGUUCCACUUUAUUCAUUACAGACACGAUUCCAAACAAAGAGGUCCUCCACAAUCAGGACAAGUUCUCAGGGGUCCACAGGUAGACCUCAUCCUGGACUAACAGGACUUUAGACACCAGGAUCAUGUUUUUGCUAAAGAACCCCCCUCCCUGAUAUUUGAGUGGAUUUCUAUUUGAAGAAGAACAUCAUCAGUAACGUGGACAAUAGAAGAACUACAGGGAUCAUUUACACUAUUCUGAGAAUAAAACCUGGACUCACACAGCCUUUCUGCAGUUCCUCACAGCUGGGAUCAGUCUCCAUCGUCCCUGGUCUGAUGUGUUAUAGUUCUGUAAGUCCAACUCAUCCAGAACCUCCUCUGACAUCUGCAGCAUGUAGGCCAGAGCAGAGCAGUGGAUCUCUGAGAGUUCCUUAAAUCUGUUCUCUGACUUCAGGAGCUCUUGGAUCUCCUGAUGAACUGACAGAUCGUUCAUCUCCAUCAGACAGUGGAAGAUGUUGAUGCUUCUGUCAGGAGAGAAAUCUUCACUGUUCAUCCACUUCAGGUUCUUGAUGACUCUUUGGAUCAUUCCUGGACUGUUGUCUGUGUGACCCAGCAGACCUCCUAAGAGUCUCUGGUUUGACUCCAGAGAGAGUCCAUGAAGGAAGCGAACGAACAGGUCCAGGUGACCGUUUUUACUGAGAAGGGAUUUCAUCAUGACAAUCAUCAGGAAGACAUCCUGAGAUGAGAAACAGUAAUCCAGGUUUUGAAAAGAUCUGGAAAACAUCUCUGAAGAAAACAUUUUGUCUUUGUUACCUCUUAGGAAAGUCUCCAGAGCUUCUGUGUUCCUCUUCUUUGUGAAACUGUGGAUCAUGUAGACUGCAGACAGAAACUCCUGAACGCUCAGAUGAACGAAACAGUAAACAGUUUUCUGGAAGAUCACACUCUCUCUUCUGAAGAUCUCUGUACAAACUCCUGAGUACACCGAGGCCUCUGAGACAUCCAGACCACACCGCUCCAGGUCCUCUUGGUAGAACAUGAUGUUUCCUCUCUCCAGAUGUUCAAAGGCCAGCCUCCCCAGCUUCAGGAGAACUUCACUGUCAGCCUCAGUCAGCUCCUGAGGACUUGUCUCAUGUCCUCCUCCAUACUUCCGCUUCUUCCUCUUAGUCUGGACCAGCAGGAAGUGUGAGUACAUGUCAGUCAGGGUCUUGGGCAGCUCUCCUCUCUUCUUUCUGCUCAUCAUGUCCUCCAGAACUGUCGCAGUGAUCCAGCAGAAGACCGGGAUCUGACACAUGAUGUGGAGGCUCCUGGAGGACUUGAUGUGUGAGAUGAUUCUUCUGGACAGAUCUUUAUCUCUGAACCUCUUUCUGAAGUACUCGUCCUUCUGGGCGUCAGUGAAGCCUCGUACUUCUGUUACCCUGUCCACACAUGAAGGAGGGAUCUGAUUGGCUGCUGCAGGUCGAGAAGUUAUCCAGAUGAGAGCUGAGGGGAGCAGGUUCCCCUUGAUGAGGUUUGUUAACAGAACGUUCAGUGAAGACUUCUGUGUGACGUCAGACAGGACCUCAGAGUCUGUGAAAUCCAGAGACAGUCUGCUUUCAUCCAGACCGUCAAAGAUGAACAGAAGUUUACAGACAGCCAGCGUCUCUGCUGUGACCUUCUUCAGUGUUGGAUGGAAAACAUGGAGCAGACUCAGAAGACUGAAGCGCUCAUCUCUGAUCAGGUUCAACUCCCUGAAUGAAAGCAGGACCACCAGAUGGAGGUCUUGGUUCUCCAAACCCUCUGCCCAGUCCAGAGUGAACUUCUGCACUGAGAAGGUUUUUCCAACACCAGCCACGCCGUUGGUCAGAACCACUCUGAUGAGCUUCUCCUGUUGGUCAGGUAAGGUUUUAAAGAUCUCAUGACACCUGAUGGACGUGUCAUGGAGGGUCUUCAUCUUUGAAGCUGUCUCCAGCUGUCUCACCUCAUGUUGGGUGUUCACCUCUUCACUCAGUCCCUCUGUGAUGUAGAGCUCAGUGAAGAUCCUGUUGAGGAGGGUUUGACUACUUCCUGUUUCAUCACUUCCUUCAUUCACACGUUCACAUCUCCUCUUCAGACUGAUCUUAUGUUCAUCUAAAACCUCCUGCAGACCACCACCUUCUGAAAGAGGAGAAAAAUAAAAUGAACCAAACUUCUCAACACUGAAACGUCUUUGUGAAAAUCAGUCAGCUGAGUUUUCAUCCACACAGACUCUAGAGGACAGAUGUUCAGACUUACUUCCAUCAGAGCGGAAAUGUCUGAAAAGCUUCUUCACAAAGUCAAAUCUCUGUGUCUCUCUGUGGAAAUAAAGAACAUUUAUUUUCUUUAUCAUUUCAUGUUUGAAAGAUUCAGAGGAAGAAGCAUUUAUUAAACCAGAGUUUCUCUUUUCUCUAACAUAAAACAGUAAAAUAUUCAGCUGCUGCUGCCUCAAAGUGUGGAGACAGGAGAAAAAACUCAACUGUGAUUUUUGAAGGUCGAGAGAUUUUCUCUGACAGUUUAAAACUUUUUUAAAGGGGACCUGCCAUCAACAUUUCAUUCCCAUUUUUAUCAUUUUUUCAUAAUCCUUGAUGUCCUCUGAUCAUGUUUGCAACAUAAUUUUAGCUGAAAAGUUAUUUGAUGGUUUGUUUUAGUAUUCCUUAAAAACCUUACAGGAAAACCAACUGGUUUUGGCUCAUUAACAUUUAUGGUAAUGAGCUUUGCUCUGAUUGGAUCGCUGCUGUGAAGCCUGCUGUGCUCUGAUUGGCUCAGCAGUGGAGGUUCGGAUUUCGGUUUAUCCAUUGUUAUUAUGCUAAUGCUAAUAGCAUAUGCUAAUGUGUGCUAAAGUAAGGUGCCCAGAUGUCUGUAAUGAUAUACGGGGACAUUCGGUGCGGCGGCAGCGGCAGCAGGGGGCUGCAGGGGCUGUGUGAUCACAGACAAAGUCUCGGUACUAUUUAGUAGCAGCGCAUGCCCCUUGUAAUAACCCCGUAAGAACUGUUGUUCAGGACUGCUAACCUGUGCUUCCUACCUAUUCGGCUGCUGUAAUAACCGUUGUUCGAGCCCACACGCAACAUUUUUGCUCUCAUUCAUGAAACGCUUAAAUCGGGGACAUUUUCGGGGACAGCUUUUGCCGGGGACAGGUCAUCCAAUACGGGGACUGUCCUCGUACUGAUCAGUAGUGGGCGCGGCUCACCGAGGACGCGCUCAUGAAUAAUAAUGAGCAAAGUCAGCGUGACGUCAGAAGGACCUGCUUUUUCAAUCGGCCUGGUUUACCCGUUUCUUUAUUUUAAACUUUUACAGAAUUCAAACGACGUAAAAGUUUAUUUUCACAUUUACAACAUAAGACGAACAUAAUAUGGACCUAAUCUGACACAAAAAACACACAAAAUUACAUUUUGAUGCCAGGUCCCCUUUAACCAAUCAGAUCUAAAGGUCUAAUAACAGACAGAUGUUUGAAUGAGUUUUUAUUUCUCAGGAUUUAUUUCUUCUUUGGUCUUCUGGUAUUUUCUGACCCACAGACUGUUUUCAGGGGUCUAUACACCACAGUCCAAAGACUUACAGGCUCAAAACGUCCCAAACACAGGAACCAAAUCAGAAAAUACAAGAGGUCAGGAUCCUUUUCUAAUGCUGUUUUAUACCACCUUCAUUUUUAUCAACAUUAGAAAUAAUAAGUAAAUCUGAACUCAGUGACUUUUUCUUUACUUUCUCCAGGUUUGGAGGUUCAACAGGAAAAUCAGCGUUUAAGAUCAUUUUUCUCACCAUGGUAGAAAACAGAGGGGUCAGAAUUUAGAGCAUCAUAAAUGACUGUUUGAGAGUUUGGAGGUUAAAAAGUGUUUCUCUUACUGUGAAUCUGAGGGUCCUGGUUCUUUACUGAAGUUCAGUGGAAGAAAUAUAGACCGGUCACUCUUCAUAGACAGACAGUCAGACAUGACAGACUUUGCUCCGCCCUCCUCUGAGGGUCCUGGUUCUUUACUGAAAUCCGGUUGAUGACCUUUUGACCGGUUACUCUUCCUAGUCAGAAAGCUGAACAUGACAGACUUUGCUCUGCCCUUUUUUUUCUUUGCACCAUCACUCAUCUUCUCCAUCUGAUGUUGAGCAAAUUUAUGGAAGAUGAAACCGAGUUAUACAACCUGAGGACAAGGAAGACAAACAGAUGAGACACAAACAGAAAGAGAGUGUGAAGAUGAAGAUGAUCAAGUUUCUACAUCUCAUUAUGUCAAAGAUCUGUCUGCACACUUCCUCUUAUUUUAAAUCCUAAAGGUCCUGAUUGGUUAUUUCUUAUCCAGUCUAAUAUGAUCGAGUCAAAGAGUCUGAAAUUCACAUUUCUUUAUAAUCUUCUGUAUUAUCAAGUAUUGUUCAUGUUCAUUGAUUGUUUUAUUCUUGACUGAUUCUUCUUUUUAACCGACUACAGAAAACAAAGCUGUUUUGGACUUUAAUUUGACUCUUUACAGUCAUUUACUGUAAAAGCUGAAUGUCUCUGGUUCAAACACAGAGGAACAUAGAUUUAACGUUUUUUUUGGCUGGACUCUGAGAAUGAGGUGAUUUUUUUGAUCUGAUCCUAAAACUCAGGAAAUUCAGACUUCAUACAACACCAGAGAAAACCAUCAGUAAUAUUAACUAAACCCUAUUUGUGGUAAUAUAACACACAAACAAAAACAUGUUUAACAAACUAACAUAUAAUCCCUUUUUUUUUAAAUGUUUCCAUCCCCUCAUUUCUACCCACCAAUUUAUCGUCUCUUUAUUCUCCAAUCUCAGAAAUAUAGACUCUGGUUCAUUAUGAUCAGUCCUUCAGCAGUUAUUAAAAGUAUUAUUCAGUCAGUAGUAUUUAGUUCCUCAUCUCUUUGGGGUUUGUUUGACCUCUAAUGACUCUUGUCUUUUUCUGUAAAUGAUUCAUUUAUUGUCCUGAUCUGUUACAGUCCUGCACUGAAUCCUGUUCAUACAAAGACUUUGGACCUUGAAUAUAAACUGACAGGCUGAUAUUUCACAGUAAUGAACUUUGGACCAGCUUUAUGGUCGAACAGAAGAUAAAACAACAGCAUGAAUAUCUUUAC